rnacentral:lncRNA from 1 species
GGGGUGCUCCGGCAAGAUCCUUCGAUGCUCAAGUCAGUACUCUGCUUCAACAGAAAUGGAGUGCUCGAGCGAAAAUUUUGGCAGAAUUUCGAGAUAGAGUUACCAGCUUAGAAAAGAACGUAUCUGGGGGUCCUUAUUUAUAAACGAAGGGCAUAACUGACUGACAGCGAUAUCUGUAACCGUCUGGUAGUGGACCGCUCAGAACCGUGUGGAGUUUGUUACAGAGAGUAGUGGCGUC